rnacentral:snRNA from 1 species
GGACAGUCUGGCUACAAUGUCUGUCACCCCCAUUGAUUGCCAGUGUUGAUUCGGCUGAUCUGGCUGAUCACUCCUGCUAGAUAAGGAUGUUUUCAAGGCUAUACAGGUAGCUCCAUUCUCCUAGUAGCACCUACAAACAAGCUCCCAAGGAGACUACAGGGAAAUUUUAUAAUGUAGUUUUCAAACUUUAGAGUAUCUUCAUGAAAAAUAUAAUUCUGAGAAAACAUUCCUGUGGCCUUUACAU